rnacentral:rRNA from 1 species
UACGUAGGUGGCAAGCGUUGUCCGGAAUUAUUGGGCGUAAAGCGCGCGCAGGCGGUCCUUUAAGUCUGAUGUGAAAGCCCACGGCUCAACCGUGGAGGGUCAUUGGAAACUGGGGGACUUGAGUACAGAAGAGAAGAGUGGAAUUCCACGUGUAGCGGUGAAAUGCGUAGAGAUGUGGAGGAACACCAGUGGCGAAGGCGACUCUUUGGUCUGUAACUGACGCUGAGGCGCGAAAGCGUGGGGAGCAAACAG